rnacentral:rRNA from 1 species
GGCGUGCCUAACACAUGCAAGUCGAACGGUAACAGGUCUUCGGAUGCUGACGAGUGGCGCACGGGUGAGUAACGCGUGGAUAUCUGCCUAUUAGUGGGGGACAACUUGUGGAAACGCAAGCUAAUACCGCAUAAUCCCUACGGGGGAAAGCAGGGGACCUUCGGGCCUUGUGCUGAUAGAUGAGUCCGCGUCUGAUUAGCUAGUUGGUAGGGUAAAGGCCUACCAAGGCGAUGAUCAGUAUCUGGUUUGAGAGGAUGAUCAGACACACUGGAACUGAGACACGGUCCAGACUUCUACGGAAGGCAGCAGUGGGGAAUAUUGCACAAUGGGCGCAAGCCUGAUGCAGCGACGCCGCGUGUGGGAAGAAGGCUUUAGGGUUGUAAACCACUUUCAAUUGGGAAGAAGAGAUGAGUGUUAAUAACAUUCUGAUUUGACGGUACCUUUAGAAGAAGCACCGGCUAAUUUCGUGCCAGCAGCCGCGGUAAUACGAAAGGUGCAAGCGUUGUUCGGAUUUACUGGGCGUAAAGAGAGUGUAGGUUGUUUAUUAAGUCGGAUGUGAAAUCCCGGGGCUCAACCUCGGAACUGCAUUCGAUACUGGUAGACUAGAGUUCGGGAGGGGUAAGCGGAAUUCCGUGUGUAGCAGUGAAAUGCGUAGAUAUACGGAGGAACACCUGAGGCGAAGGCGGCUUACUGGACCGAUACUGACACUGAGACUCGAAAGCGUGGGUAGCAAACAGGAUUAGAUACCCUGGUAGUCCACGCCCUAAACGAUGUCAACUAGCCGUUGCGGGUAUCGACCCCUGCAGUGGCGAAGCUAACGCGAUAAGUUGACCGCCUGGGGAGUACG